GUACGGGGAAGGAUGAGAAGCUUCGACUAAGGUUCGAUUCGAGCGCAGCGAGAAAGCGUUGCCGUAGGCAACGACCCGAAGGGCGAAGCGCGCAGCGCUGAGUCAUCCUUCCCCCACCACCA
rnacentral:sRNA from 1 species